rnacentral:pre_miRNA from 18 species
AAUAAGCAUUUUUCUGUCCCGCGCAUCCCUUUGUUCCAAUAUUCAAACCAGUAGAAAGAUUAUUGAGCAAUGCGCAUGUGCGGGACAGAUUGAAUAGCUG